GCUCACGCCUUGCCCUGUGGAAUGUUUGCUCCACAGUUUUCUCUGUAUUUUGUUGCUGGCCUCAGAUAGAUUUACUCACAUAAGAUAACCAUUGACCUUAUCUAAUAAAAGGAAUUAGGAUCCAAGGAAUCUAUUUAACUCAUUAUUAAAGAUCAUUUCCUGUUAUUAUCUCCCCUGUAGUAAAAUUAGCUGUUAACUCUCGUGUUAGCACAACCCAUCCAGUAUUACUAGGAAAUGAGGGGAAAAUCAGUUCAGUGAUAUGUGGGUUGAGCCCAGGGAAUUCCCUAUCCUUGGUGCAUAUUAACAUUAUGCCUUAGAAGUUAAGGGAAUGUUCUGUUAAGUGGAAAAAGAGUUGCAGAAAUUUUACUUUCAAAAGUCAAGUUAAAAGUUCCUUUUUUCCCAAGUCAAAUUAAUUUUUGUCUCAGGGCAAGAAAAAGUAAAUUAAAAACCACAGACUGCCUCCUCCUCACAGGCCCCAUCUUCUCCUGGGUUUCUAUCCCUCUUGGCUGCAGUUUCAGGUUUCACUGGCCCAGUUUGGACCUCAGAGAAUUCCCAGCCUCAUCAGGUUCUGCUCCGGGGAGCCUCUGACUAUGGCAAGGAAGCAGCGAACAAGAAACCUCUGGACACUUUCUCUUUAAUGAAACACAAUUUGAUUACACAUCAUCACCAUUCCCCAGCAGACAGCCUUUUCUGGAGGGCUUCAGCCUGCUGUAGUCAUGCCUGCAGGAUUUCUGCAUUUCAGUGGAGCCCAGUGGGAGCUUCUGAAGUUUUCUACCAGCGGAUGGCUCCCAGCACCUAGACAGCCUAUGUAUUAAUGUCAGGUAGACAAACCCUCCCUUGUGCUUUUAUGGGUAAUAGUUCUCUGUAGUCCCCCUGAAUACAGGGAUCCAGAAAGCUAUUCAGGUUCAUCAAAGAAUCUUGAGUUCACAUGUAGGAAUUAUUUUUGAAGCUGGUGUGGUGGUACAUUCCUAUAAUAAUAGCACUGGGGAGGUGGAGACAGAAGGAUCGGGAGUUCAAGGUCAGCUUUGACUGAGGUUACAAAAGAUUCGGUCUGACACAAAAAGAAUUAUUUUAUUUUUUGUUACAACUGCCAAUAUAUACCAUCAUGGCCUGUCUAAUCCAUCAGACUAGAUAUGGAUCUGAGAUCACAGAUUCAGUCUAAGAUCAAGGCUCAGAGCCAAAGAAGCCACAUUGUGAGAACAUUUGUUUCUGUGGAUGUCAGUCUUGGCAUUGAAUGUGUAAGGUGACGUGAGCAAUGGUGGCCUUCCUCCUAAACAUUUGGAUUAAAGAGUACAACAGA